rnacentral:rRNA from 1 species
CGAAAGGGUGACGAAGCGACGCCGCGUGUGGGAAGAAGGCCUUCGGGUUGUAAACCACUGUCAGGAGUUAAGAAGUGUAAGGGUGCUAAUAGUAUCCUUACUUGACUAAGGCUCCAGAGGAAGCCACGGCUAACUCUGUGCCAGCAGCCGCGGUAAUACAGAGGUGGCAAGCGUUGUUCGGAAUUAUUGGGCGUAAAGAGCACGUAGGCGGUUCUGCAAGUCGGCUGUGAAAGCCUUCCGCUCAACGGAAGAACAGCAGUUGAUACUACAGGACUAGAGUGCGGGAGGGGAGAGUGGAACUUCUGGUGGAGCGGUGAAAUGCGUAGAUAUCAGAAGGAACGCCGGCGGCGAAAGCGACUCUCUGGCCCGUAACUGACGCUGAGUGUGCGAAAGCUAGGGGAGCAAACGGGAUUAGAUACCCCGGUAGUCCUAGCCGU